CAUUGUUGGAGAGUUUGAUCCUGGCUCAGGACGAAC
rnacentral:rRNA from 1 species